GUUGGGUUAGAUGGGUUCAUUAUAAUUAACCCAAUCCAAUCUAAUUCUUAAUUGGGUUCGAAAAAAUUGAUCCAAUUAACUCGUAACAACUUACUCAACCUGUCAAAAUUAAAUUGAGUUAGAUUAGUUAGGUUGGAUCCAUCAGAUUGGAUUAGAUUUGGCCACCCCUAUUCAAGACUUUGGAUAUGACGUUCCAUCAUAGAUGUACUUGAUCUUUGCACUGUUUCGUGGUGCUUACAAAUGGCCUAUCUAAUAUUUAGCCUUUCUUAAUUAAUUAUCUGCCACACCUGGGAACCCAAUCCAACCUAAUUGUUAAUUGGGUUAAAAAAAAUUGAUCCAAUUAACUUAUAACAACCUACUCAACUCGUCAAAAUUAAAUUGGGUUAGAUUAGUUAGGUCGGAUCCAUCAGGUUGGAUUGGAUUUGGCCACCCCUAUUCAAGACUUUGGGUAUGACGUUCCAUUGCAGAAGUACUUGAUCUUUCCACUGUUUCGUGGUGCCUACAAAUGGGUUAUCUAAUAUUUAGCCUUUCUUAAUUAAUUAUCUGGCCGCCAACAACAAUAAUAAUAAAAUAACCCAAUUUUUAGGAGCAUUUUCUAACACAACUUUAUUAAUCUCCUCAUUCAUUGUUGUUAACAACUUGAUUAAUUCAAUAAAAUUUCCACGAUUAAGAGAAUUAACUGACUCAUCAUGACAUCUAAAAGUACAAGCUUGUUUUGCUAACCACUUGGUAGCUAUUAUUGAGGUUUUUAGCCGCAACCUAUUCUGUAAAACUUGUUGUGAAGAUUGUGCAUUCAUUCUUUUCUCAAUAUGUUUAAAUGGAUCCUUUAAAUUGCUCCAUUUUUCUAUGGCAGCAUUGACCAUGACUCCCUUUAUGCAAUGCAAAUGGACAUUUUUUGUCACAAGAAACAUACUUCCAAUUUUGACAACCAUCAUCAAUGAAUGCAUCAAACUUAGUUGAUGUAUCAUUAAAAAGAAAGCAUGGAAAACAAAUGUUUUAUCUUUUGAUAAGGAAUACUCAAGCUAAGGAAAUUUUGAGAACCAAGAAAAUUGAAAUCGAUGAUUUUGCAUAUCAUGUUUAGUCGGCGGGUAUUUUUGUAGCUCAAGUUAGAAUGGUCCCAUAUUUAUGUACGCUAUCCGUACAUCUUCUCGUUUAUCAAUAGGAUAAGUUUUGAUUGAGAUGCGUAAUCCGGGAUCACGUUCUAAAUAAGGAGUGUCAAUAGUGGAUGGAAUAUCAACUUUCUCAAAUUCAGCUCUUUGAGAUUUAAGAGAACUCAAGGCAUCAAUAUUGCACGGAGAACUUGUUUCAUUUGAUGAUUGACCAUCAUUUACUUUGGCAAAGAAUGAGCGGAGAGUUUUUCUAGACUUGGAUUAAUCAGACAUUAUAACAUUUAAAUUACCAUAACAUGAAGCAACAUAAGAAUUAAUAAAUAAAUUAAUAAUUACAAGCUUAAUUAGCAUGCUUAAAUAAAUUAAACAAUUUAAUUUUGUUCAUCUUUUCCAUUUUAAAAAAAUGUUAUUAGUGAAAAAAUAACAAUAAUAAAUCAACUCAAACUAAUAAAUCACAAAAUUAAUUAAAAAAAGCCAAUCAAACAUUCAAAAUAAUAAAUUAAAAUAAUACGUAAAAUAAAUCAAUUAGUUUGAAACUAUAACAUGAAACUGCAUAAGAAUUAAUAAAUUAAUUAAUAAUUACAAGCUUAAUUGAUGGGUAAACCGGUUGUGCUGCUGCUGCUGGGAGUGUUGCUUUUGCUGCGAGUGCUGCUCAAGAAGAUGUGAUGAACACUAAUUAAUUAGAUAUUUAAUUAAUUAAUUUUUAGGUCUAUUAUUUCUUUUUAAUUACUUAAUUUGUUUUUUUUUAUUUUAAUAUUAUUUUAGAGAGUGAUUUUCAUCAUUCUGAUGCGUCUUUUGUUUUCAUAAAAUGUAAUAAUUACCAGACGGAUCUAUUAGUAGGCUAUACUAGGCUGCAGCCGGUAUAAAAAGAGGAAAAAAAUCAAUUAAUUUAAUUAAAAUUGCGAAAAUACUAUUAAUUUUAAUUACGAAAAUUCCAUCAUCAUUAUUGCUUUUCCUUCAACCGACACCUUUAGAAAAAACAAAAGAACUUCCAUCAUUAUUCUGGACCCGCCUACCAUACCACUGUGGUAUGGUACCACGCUUUUUGUCUUCUUUUAAAACCACCGUUCGAUGAUUGAGAGAAAAUCUAACGGCUAAAAAAAAUGUAAAGGAAAAGUAGAGCAACCGGUUGCUCCCGAUUGCUCCAAGGCACUGUGGCUGGCUUUAUUAAUCAAUUAAUAAAGAUCCAGAUAUUGAUUAAAGUUCUUAUUUCAUUAGCUUUGACUGGCCAUCAUACAAAACCCUUCCAGCACCGAUAAAUUGCUGAAAUAAUUUACAGAGAAAAAAUGUCGAUAAAACCCUUCAAUUUCCGAUGGAAUCGU
rnacentral:lncRNA from 1 species